AAGGGAAAUGCAUCUUUGGCCUCUAGUCUUCAUGUAAUGAACUGUAACUUUCAGACCAGCAGAUUAAGUGCAUAAGUGAAGGUGAGAAUUGAGUGAGAGACAAUUUCCAUCUGAGUAUGCUAUGAGCACGGGCCACCUUAUGAUCAAAUUUGGGAGUGCUCCUGGUGGAAGGCACUGGGGAGAGUUAGAGAGAGAAAGAAGUUAUGUUAUGUUCCUGGCCCUUAUGAAUAGCCCUGUUAUAGAUCAUUGAUAAGCUGAUUUGCUCAAAUAAGCCUACGAGUGCUUAAAAUUCAAAUGUGUUCUGUACAUCGGCCAAUCUCUAGUUGCCAUAAAUAUAAGUAUUGAGUGCCUACUGUAUCCACCAGUUUUGUUGCAAAGGCUUCCUGUUUUGCAGCAUGCUUCUUACGUGUACACAGUAAUUAUCCUUACCCGAACACCAAAGGCAGGGUUAGCUGCAGUUAAGCCACAGUGAGGAUAUUAUAACUGUGGGUAAAGACCAAAAUACAUAUAGGAGAUAAAUAUUUGGAACAGACAGUGGCGCCGACAGAUUACUGGAAUGACAGGAAUUAGGUGGGAUUACUGUGGUAAACCGCACUGAAGGAGAUGUCUUAAGCAAUAUUUAGGAGCUGGUAGUUCUGAGCAAGGGAAACAACUUCUUCAGCUAAGGGUGUGAAGAGAGGCAAAAAAGGGAAGCAGUGUACUUUCUGCAAGGAUGGCCUUCCCUUCCAUAGCCACCAGCAUGUCUUGCCCCUCUGGCCUGAAGCAGUGAUCUAAUAAAGGGAGGGAAGAGGGCAGGAUGCCUUAAAAAAAAAAAAAUGUAGCGUUCCAUCCUGUGUCUCAGUUGCCACAUAAAAGUUCCAUUUCAUAAUCAAAGGUUGAAGAAGAAAGUAACUGACUUGCUUAACUAGAAAAGAGCACAUGGGACCUAAUACAGUGAAGGAUGAAAGCAGUUAGACAGCCAAAGGCAGGAACAGACGAUUUGGCAAGGCAGAUGGAAGUCCCAGGGUCAGCAGUUAACCUGGAAGCAUUCUAAGCUCAUUGACGUGGCCCAGGUGACACCCAAAGAUGGUGGUGGUUUGGAAACUACAGGACAGACCGGAAGUGGUGGUUUCCUGGGCUGUGAGGUGAGAAGAGAAGUUAGGGAGGGCAGCAA
rnacentral:lncRNA from 1 species